rnacentral:rRNA from 1 species
UACGUAGGGUGCGAGCGUUGUCCGGAAUUAUUGGGCGUAAAGGGCUCGUAGGCGGUUUGUCGCGUCGGGAGUGAAAUCCACUGGCUUAACUGGUGGCUUGCUUUCGAUACGGGCAGACUGGAGGUAUGCAGGGGAGAACGGAAUUCCUGGUGUAGCGGUGAAAUGCGCAGAUAUCAGGAGGAACACCGAUGGCGAAGGCAG